rnacentral:rRNA from 1 species
GACGAACGCUGGCGGCGUGCUUAACACAUGCAAGUCGAACGGAAAGGCCCUGCUUUUGUGGGGUGCUCGAGUGGCGAACGGGUGAGUAACACGUGAGUAACCUGCCCUUGACUUUGGGAUAACUUCAUGAAACUGGGGCUAAUACCGGAUAGGAGCUCCUGCUGCAUGGUGGGGGUUGGAAAGUUUCGGCGGUUGGGGAUGGACUCGCGGCUUAUCAGCUUGUUGGUGGGGUAGUGGCUUACCAAGGCUUUGACGGGUAGCCGGCCUGAGAGGGUGACCGGCCACAUUGGGACUGAGAUGAGGCACAGACUCAUACGGGAGGCAGCAGUGCGGAAUAGUGCACAAUGGGCGGAAGCCUGAUGCAGCAACGCCGCGUGCGGGAUAACGGCCUUCGGGUUGUAAACCGCUUUCGCCUGUGACGAAGCGUGAGUGACGGUAAUGGGUAAAGAAGCACCGGCUAACUACGUG